GUUGCAGGGUAUAGACCCGAAACCCGGUGAUCUAGCCAUGGGCAGGUUGAAGGUUGGGUAACACUAACUGGAGGACCGAACCGACUAAUGUUGAAAAAUUAGCGGAUGACCUGUGGCUGGGGGUGAAAGGCCAAUCAAACCGGGAGAUAGCUGGUUCUCCCCGAAAGCUAUUUAGGUAGCGCCUCGUGAAUUCAUCUCCGGGGGUAGAGCACUGUUUCGGCUAGGGGGCCAUCCCGGCUUACCAACCCGAUGCAAACUGCGAAUACCGGAGAAUGUUAUCACGGGAGACACACGGCGGGUGCUAACGUCCGUCGUGAAGAGGGAAACAACCCAGACCGCCAGCUAAGGUCCCAAAGUCAUGGUUAAGUGGGAAACGAUGUGGGAAGGCCCAGACAGCCAGGAUGUUGGCUUAGAAGCAGCCAUCAUUUAAAGAAAGCGUAAUAGCUCACUGGUCGAGUCGGCCUGCGCGGAAGAUGUAACGGGGCUAAACCAUGCACCGAAGCUGCGGCAGCGACACUCAGGUGUUGUUGGGUAGGGGAGCGUUCUGUAAGCCUGCGAAGGUGGCCUGUGAGGGUUGCUGGAGGUAUCAGAAGUGCGAAUGCUGACAUAAGUAACGAUAAAGCGGGUGAAAAGCCCGCUCGCCGGAAGACCAAGGGUUCCUGUCCAACGUUAAUCGGGGCAGGGUGAGUCGACCCCUAAGGCGAGGCCGAAAGGCGUAGUCGAUGGGAAACGGGUUAAUAUUCCCGUACUUGGUGUUACUGCGAAGGGGGGACGGAGAAGGCUAUGUUGGCCGGGCGACGGUUGUCCCGGUUUAAGCGUGUAGGUGUGUGUUCCAGGUAAAUCCGGUU
rnacentral:rRNA from 1 species